rnacentral:tRNA from 1 species
CGGGGCGUAGCGCAGCUUGGUAGCGCGCUUGCAUGGGGUGCAAGAGGUCGUGAGUUCGAAUCUCACCAGCCCGACCA